rnacentral:rRNA from 1 species
GCCCGCUCAGAAACUCAAAGGAAGUUGACGGGGGCCCGCACAAGCGGUGGAGCAUGUGGUUUAAUCGAUGAUACGCGAGGAACCUUACCUGGGCUCAAAUGUAUGUUGACGUAUUCUGAAAGGGAUACUUCUUCGGACAAUAUACAAGGUGCUGCAUGGUUGUCGUCAGCUCGUGCCGUGAGGUGUCGGGUUAAGUCCCAUAACGAGCGCAACCCCUAUCAUUAGUUGCCAUCAGGUCAAGCUGGGGACUCUAAUGAAACUGCCUACGCAAGUAGUGAGGAAGGUGGGGAUGACGUCAAAUCAGCACGGCCCUUACGUCCAGGGCUACACACGUGCUACAAUGGCCGGUACAAAGGGCAGCUACCUGGUGACAGGAUGCUAAUCUCAAAAGCCGGUCUCAGUUCGGAUCGGAGUCUGCAACCCGACUCCGUGAAGUUGGAUUCGCCAGUAAUCGCGCAUCAGCCAUGGCGCGGUGAAUACGUUCCCGGGCCUU